rnacentral:rRNA from 1 species
UAUCAGCACCCCGAGUGGUCGGGACGAUUAUUGGGCCUAAAGCAUCCGUAGCCGGUCAUGCAAGUCUUCCGUUAAAUCCAGCCGCUCAACGGUUGGGCUGCGGAGGAUACUACGUGGCUAGGAGGCGGGGAGAGGCAAGCGGUACUCAGUGGGUAGGGGUAAAAUCCUUUGAUCCAUUGAAGACCACCAGUGGCGAAGGCGGCUUGCCAGAACGCGCUCGACGGUGAGGGAUGAAAGCUGGGGGGAGCAAACCGG